GACGAACGCUGGCGGCGUGCUUAACACAUGCAAGUCGAACGGAAAGGCCCUGCUUUUGUGGGGUGCUCGAGUGGCGAACGGGUAAGUAACACGUGAGUAACCUGCCCUUGACUUUGGGAUAACUUCAGGAAACUGGGGCUAAUACCGGAUAGGAGCUCCUGCUGCAUGGUGGGGGUUGGAAAGUUUCGGCGGUUGGGGAUGGACUCGCGGCUUAUCAGCUUGUUGGUGGGGUAGUGGCUUACCAAGGCUUUGACGGGUAGCCGGCCUGAGAGGGUGACCGGCCACAUUGGGACUGAGAUACGGCCCAGACUCCUACGGGGGGCAGCAGUGGGGAAUAUUGCACAAUGGGCGGAAGCCUGAUGCAGCAACGCCGCGUGCGGGAUGACGGCCUUCGGGUUGUAAACCGCUUUCGCCUGUGACGAAGCGUGAGUGACGGUAAUGGGUAAAGAAGCACCGGCUAACUACGUG
rnacentral:rRNA from 1 species